AGCUCCAAGAAUACGCGGAGGAGGUGGCCCGGGUCGGCAUCGGCGCCGUCCGACGCACACCACGGGCCCGCUUCCAAGUGCGUCUGCGCGCCGGCCACCCAUGCCGGGUCCUUCAAGUGCCGCUUCCACCGCACCAACUCCCAGGGCCAUGGCCACGGCCAGGGCCAGGGAAGCUGCCCUUCUUCGCCCCCUUCACCGGCCAUGGCACCCAGCCUCGCCGUCCUCGUCCUCCAGCACCGUCGCGACCCAGUGAUGCAGCCCAAGCAUCGGCCUCGAGAAUCAAGAACGCUAGAUAGCGGAGAGGGAAGGGAAGAUCAUAUACAUGUCAUAAGAAAGGGAGUUUUUUUUACUGCUCCCUCCAUGUAUUGUUUCCUUUGUUUGGAGAUUGAUUACCAUCCGUGA
rnacentral:rRNA from 1 species